AUUGAACGCUGGCGGCAUGCCUUACACAUGCAAGUCGAACGGCAGCACGGGGCAACCUGGUGGCGAGUGGCGAACGGGUGAGUAAUGCAUCGGAACGUGCCCAGUAGUGGGGGACAACCAGUCGAAAGAUUGGCUUAUACCGCAUACGACCUAUGGGUGAAAGCGGGGGACCGUAAGGCCUCGCGCUAUUGGAACGGGCGAUGUCUGAUUAGCUAGUUGGUGAGGUAAAGGCCCACCAAGGCGACGAUCAGUAGCUGGUCUGAGAGGACGACCAGCCACACUGGGACUGAGACACGGCCCAGACUCCUACGGGAGGCAGCAGUGGGGAAUUUUGGACAAUGGGCGCAAGCCUGAUCCAGCCAUGCCGCGUGCGGGAAGAAGGCCUUCGGAUUGUAAACUCCUGUCAUCCGGGAGCAAGACCUGACGGUGAAUAGCCGGCAGGGUUGAUAGUACCGGAAGAGGAAGGGACGGCUAACUUCGUGCCAGCAGCCGCAGUAAUAC
rnacentral:rRNA from 1 species